rnacentral:rRNA from 1 species
UACGUAGGGUGCAAGCGUUGUCCGGAAUCAUUGGGCGUAAAGAGCGUGUAGGCGGCUCGAUUAGUCCGCUGUAAAAGUCCAGGGCUCAACCCUGGGAUGCCGGUGGAAACUGUCGGGCUAGAGUCCGGGAGAGGCGAGUGGAAUUCCUGGUGUAGCGGUGGAAUGCGCAGAUAUCAGGAGGAACACCGAUGGCGAAGGCAGGUCUCUGGGCCACUGACUGACGCUGAGAAGCGAAAGCAUGGGGAGCGAACAGG